UACGAAGGGGGCUAGCGUUGUUCGGAUUUACUGGGCGUAAAGCGCACGUAGGCGGAUUGUUAAGUCGGGGGUGAAAUCCUGGAGCUCAACUCCAGAAUUGCCUUCGAUACUGGCUUUCUAGAGGCUGGAGGAGGUUAGUGGAAUUCCCAGUGUAGAGGUGAAAUUCGUAGAUAUUGGGAAGAACACCAGUGGCGAAGGCGGCUAACUGGUCCAGAUCUGACGCUGAGGUGCGAAAGCGUGGGGAGCAAACAGG
rnacentral:rRNA from 1 species